rnacentral:rRNA from 1 species
UACGUAGGGGGCAAGCGUUGUCCGGAUUUAUUGGGCGUAAAGAGCUCGUAGGUGGUUUGGUAAGUCGGAUGUGAAAUCUCCAGGCUCAACCUGGGAACUGCGUUUGUGACUGCAAGACUCGAGUGCGGCAGAGGGGGGUGGAAUUCCACGUGUAGCAGUGAAAUGCGUAGAGAUGUGGAGGAACACCGAUGGCGAAGGCAGCCCCCUGGGUCGACACUGACGCUCAUGCACGAAAGCGUGGGGAGCAAACAGG